GGGUAGUCUAGUGGACAUGGCAUCUGCCCGGUAAGCGGAACACUGUGGGUUCGAUUCCCAGUUGUUCAAUU
rnacentral:tRNA from 1 species